rnacentral:rRNA from 1 species
AGGUAAAAAAUCGGCGUGGUUAGCAGAACGAGUUGGAAAGCUCAGCCGGAGACUGUGAUAGCCAGGUAUGCGAAAACGACGCUGACCUUAUUCUGUAUUCUCGAGUAGGUCGGGGCACGAGAAACCCUGAUUGAAUCCGGCUGGACCACCAGCCAAGGCUAAAUAUAGUAUAUGAUCGAUAGUGAACUAGUACGGUGACGGAAAGGUGAAAAGAACCCCGGGAGGGGAGUGAAAUAGAACCUGAAAUUUUGUGCCUACAAGGAGUCGGAGCCCAGCACCUUUGAAAUCGAGUGGUACAAUGUAGACAGAUGUUCUACGUGUACGUUUUGCAAAGUGAUCGGGAAUCAGAUCAAAUUUACUUCGGUCAGACCAGUGACUUAAGACGACGUCUCUCGGAGCAUAAUUCCGGUAAGGAUACUUAUACCAAGAUAUAUGCGCCAUGGAAGGUUGUCUAUUAUGAAGCCUAUUUAUCACGUAAGCUGGCAUUAGCCCGUGAGAGGCAGUUGAAAGCUUAUGGACAAGCCAGAACUGCUCUGAAGAAGAGACUAAAUUUGAUCUGAUACUCGAUUUCAAAGGUGCUGGGUGACGGCGUGCUUUUUGUAGAACGAUCCAGCGAGUUAAUUUUUACGGCGAGGUUAAGUCAGAUGAUGAAGCCAUAGUGAAAGCGAGCAUUAACAGUGCGAUUUAGUCGUAAGGAUUAGACCCGAAACCAGGUGACCUAACCAUGAGCAGGUUGAAGCAACCUUAAUCGGUUGUGGAGGACCGAACCAGUGUAUAUUGCAAAAUGCUUGGAUGACUUGUGGUUAGCGGUGAAAUGCCAAUCGAACUUGGAGAUAGCUGGUUCUCCGCGAAAUAGUUAUAGGACUAGCGUCGUGUGAUAGCUUACGGGGGUAGAGCUCUGUCAAGAGAUAGGGGGAGCAAUCCUACCUACUCUUAAUAAACUACGAAUACCGUAUGUCUGUAUCACGGCAGUUAGAACGUCGGUGCUAAGAUCGGCGCUCAAAAGGGAAACAGCCCAGACCAUCAUCUAAGGUCCCCAAAUUUACGCUAAGUGGGAAACAAGGUGGAAUUUCUUAAACAGCUAGGAUGUUGGCUUAGAAGCAGCCAUUCAUUUAAAGAGUGCGUAACAGCUCACUAGUCAAGAGAUUCUGCGUGGAAGAUAUAACGGGGCUAAGCGUAAUACCGAAGAUAUGGAUUGCAAUUUAUUGCAGUGGUAGCGGAGCGUUCCUAUCGGCAGUGAAGCCGGACUGUUAAGUACCGGUGGAGCGUUAGGAAGUGAGAAUGCUGGAACGAGUAACCAUAAGACAGGUGAGAAUCCUGUCGGCCGAAAGAGCGAGGUUUCCUGGGCUAUGGUAAUCAUCCCAGGGUUAGUCGGGCCUAAGCCGAGGCGUUUAGCGUAGGCGAUGGACAUCAGGUUAAUAUUCCUGAACUAGUCAAACUUUGUAUGCAGUUAGCGAUGAGAUAGGUGGAGCGGAUUCAUGGUUUAUCCGUUCAAGUGAUAGAGGAAUCUUGAUCGAGUAAAAGUGAACCUACGGGUUUACGAUUCCGCCGAAGGCAUUGACCAGAAAAGCUGGCAUACGCAUGGGUUUGGCUACCCGUACCGCAAACCGACACAGGUGCUCGAGUCGAGGAGACUAAGGCUUACGAGAGAAUGAUUGCUAAGGAACUCGGCAAUACAGCGACCGUAACUUCGGAAUAAGGUCUGCCUACAUUUGUAGGCCGCAGCUAAAGAGCCCACGGAACUGUUUAUCAAAAACUCAGGUCUCUGCUAACACGAAAGUGGAUGUAUAGGGGCUGAAACCUGCCCGGUGCCGGAAGGUUAAGGGGAUUGCUUCACGGUGAGAACUGAAGCCCCGGUGAACGGCGGCGGUAACUAUAACCGUCCUAAGGUAGCGAAAUUCCUUGUCAGGUAAGUUCUGACCCGCACGAAUGGUUAAAUCAUGUGGGCACUGUCUCAGCAAUUAUCUCGGUGAAAAUGCAUUGGCGGUAAAGAUGCCGUCUGUCCGCACCAGGACGAAAAGACCCCGUGGAGCUUCACUACAGCUUUACAUUGUUGUGGGUUCUAACUUGUGUAGUAUAGGUGGGAGACUUUGAAGCAGAUACGCUAGUAUUUGUGGAGUCAUCAGUGAAAUACCACCCCCGUUAGGAUCUGCAUCUAACCUGUGCCGUUAUCCGGUAUAGGGACCGUGUAUGGUUGGUAGUUUAACUGGGGCGGUUGCCUCCUAAANNNNNNNNNNNNNNNNNNNNNNNNGUCCUAAGGUAGCGAAAUUCCUUGUCAGGUAAGUUCUGACCCGCACGAAUGGUUAAAUCAUGUGGGCACUGUCUCAGCAAUUAUCUCGGUGAAAAUGCAUUGGCGGUAAAGAUGCCGUCUGUCCGCACCAGGACGAAAAGACCCCGUGGAGCUUCACUACAGCUUUACAUUGUUGUGGGUUCUAACUUGUGUAGUAUAGGUGGGAGACUUUGAAGCAGAUACGCUAGUAUUUGUGGAGUCAUCAGUGAAAUACCACCCCCGUUAGGAUCUGCAUCUAACCUGUGCCGUUAUCCGGUAUAGGGACCGUGUAUGGUUGGUAGUUUAACUGGGGCGGUUGCCUCCUAAAGAGUAGCGGAGGCGUUCAAAGGUUGGCUAGCUACGGAUGGAAAUCGUAGUGGUAGUGUAUACGCAUAAGCCAGCUUGACUGUGAGGAGUACAUUCCGAUCAGAUGCGAAAGCAGGAGUAAGUGAUCCGCUGGACGAACCAUUGGUUCAUGAAUGUGGGAUUGCCAGCGCAAACGGACAAAAGUUACCCCGGGGAUAACAGGCUGAUAGCGCCCAAUA